CAUCGAUGUCGGCCUUGGGCAGGCUCACAUCCACAUCUGGACCUUCUCCUUUGAAGCCAGGCAUGCUGAAUUUGGGCAUUUUCACCUUGGGCAUCUUCAGGUGCCAGUCUGGGCCUUGAACGUCCACAUCUGGGACAUCAAUGUCCACUUUGGGGUCCCUGAUGUCAACUUCGGGGCCCUUGAGGUCGCCUUCCACUUUGGGCAGAGAAAUGUCCAUGUCGCCCUUCACCUUUGGACCUUUCAGAUUCAGGUCAACUUCAGGCAUAGAGAUCUUCGGUGCCUUGAGGUGUAAGUCAGGCAUUUUAAAUUUGGGGCCCUUCAGUUUCCCUUCUGGACCAUGAAUAUCAAUAUCAGGAGUGUCAAUGUCCACUUUGGGUCCUGAGACAUCAAUGUCAGCUUUGGGCAAAUUAACAUCCACUUCUGGGCCCUCUCCUUUAAAUCCUGGCAUGCUGAAUUUGGGCAUUUUCACCUUGGGCAUCUUCAGGUGCCAGUCUGGGCCAUGAACAUCCACAUCUGGGGCAUCAAUGUCCACUUUGGGCCCUCUGAUGUCAACAUCUGGCACUUUCAUUUCACCUUCUACCUUGGGAACAGACACAUCUGGGGCAUCAAUGUCCAUUUUGGGUCCUUUGAUGUCAACAUCUGGCACUUUCAUUUCACCUUCUACCUUGGGCACAGACACAUCCAUAUCCCCUUUGACUUUGGGGCCUUUCAGGUGUAAGUCCACAUCAGGCAUGGAGAUCUUGGGGGCCUUGAAGUGCAUCUCAGGCAUCUUAAACUUGGGCCCUUUCAACUUUGCAUCAGGACACUCCAGAUCAACAUCGGGCAUGGAGAUCUUGGGGGCCUUGAAAUGCAUCU
rnacentral:lncRNA from 1 species